rnacentral:piRNA from 1 species
CAGAAACCUGCCGGGCACAAA